UCCCGUUGGUCAAGCGGUUAAGACACCGCCCUUUCACGGCGGUAACACGGGUUCGAAUCCCGUACGGGUCA
rnacentral:tRNA from 1 species